rnacentral:lncRNA from 1 species
AAGAGUGCCGACUGCUCUUCCGAAGAUCCUGAGUUCAAAUCCCAGCAACCACAUGGCAACUACAUGGUGGCUCACAACCAUCUGUCAUAAGAUCUGACGCUCUCUUCUGGUGCAUCUGAAGUCAGCUACAGUGUACUUAGCUAUUAUAAUAAUAAACAAAUCUUUAAAAAAAAAAAGAAAGUUGUUGUUAGGGCUGGAGAGAUGGCUCAGCAGGGAAGAGUAUUGGCUACUCUUCCAGAGGAUCCAGAUUCAUUUCCCAGAAUCCAUAUAGCUCACAACUGACUGUAACUCUAGUUCCAGGGGAAUCCAGCCCCCUCGAACAGAUAUACAUGCAGGCAAAACAACAAUACAACAUAAAAUAAAAGUAAAUGAUUGUUUUCUAAAAAGUCAUUGUUAUUUGUGAAACGAGGUUAUAUGAUUGACCUUGAUGAAAAAUAACUAGAAUAGCUGUAAAGGAGUGUAAUUAAAUAUUCUUGUAUAAAUUUAGAUGGGUUACUUUUCAAAGAUACUAAUGAGGCAGUGUAAUCAAAUUAAAAUCAAAUGUAAUCAAAUCGAAAGAUAUAAUUGAUUUUUAGAAUCCAUGUUUGGAAUUAAUAAUUUGAGCUAAUUAUGAAAUUUUCAUUGCAUUAGCAAGUGUCUGUUUGGUUUCUAAUAUGUAUCUAGUAUUACACAAGUUUUUUCAGGUAAGGGACAGGGCAUAUUUUUUAAUGUUACACAAACUACCCAGUAUAAACCUAGAGAAAAAUCACUUCCAUUUGAAAGAUAGAGUCUUUAAGGUUUUUUAAACCUUUAUUUUUAAUUUAUGUUUAUGAGUAUUUUGCCUGUAUGUAUGCCUAUGUAUCACAUUUGUGCAGUUCCCACAGAUGCCAGAAGAGGAUGUUGGAUCCUCUGGGCUGGAGUUUUAGAGUUGCCAUGUGGGUGCUGGGAAUUGAAUUGGAAUCCUCUGGAAGAGCAGCCAGUGCUCUUAACUACUGAGCCAUUUCUUCAGCUUUAGAUAUUAUCUUUUAAAAACUGUAAUAUUUGGCACAUAUAGAAGAGAUAAAAUGCAUAAUAAUUAAUAUUUAAGUGUUAAUUGCCUAACUUAAGUAAUUACAGUGUUAUUUACCUAUAAUGCUACUGUCACAUCACAUAUCUCACUGCUGUCAGAAAGCUUUCAGAUUUUGUUUUGCCAGACAGGGUCUCUCCUUAGCUCCAGCUACAUAGACCAGGCUGGCCUUAAACUCAGUUAUUUGCCUGCCUCUGCCUCCCAAGUGCUGGAAAUAAAGGUGCGCACCACCACUGCCAGUGAAGCUUUCAGCUUUUAAUCCAUUCUUUACACACAGCUACUUGUUUUAAGGAAGGUGUGCUGAUACACACCCAUAAUCUCAGUACUCAGGACGAAGCAGGAGAAACUGACUUUAGUGUUAGCCUGGUCACAUGCUAAAUUUGAGGUCAUUUUGGGCUACAUACUGAGAUAGCAUC